GAUUCCCCUCCAGACGACCGCCAAGAAAAGGAAUCGUCUCGUACCUAGAGUUGGCGUUCGCAUUUGGAGAUUCAUGACAGGCCGCUGGUCGGUACAUUUGGAGAACAGCGCAGAAGGCUGUUCGGAAGGCUGAUGGUGGCAUUACCUGCGUGCGAAUCACCUCAAGGUAGAAUCGAAAGUCUGUUUACACAACAUCCUGCAAUACAGGGGAAAGCCGGUGUUCUGUGUCUGUCAGCACAGGGUGCAUAAUGGGGCAUCAAAGCAGCCAAAUCAACAAACAAAUGCCUGUUUGCGGGAUUGAGAGGAUGAGUCUGAUAGGACAGGAGACCCAUGCCCUGGUGAGUGUCUCAGACAGUCUGAGCUUAGGCCU